GCAGCAGUGAGGAAUAUUGGUCAAUGGGCGCUAGCCUGANCCAGCCAAGUAGCGUGAAGGAUGACUGCCCUAUGGGUUGUAAACUUCUUUUAUAUGGGAAUAAAGUGCAGUAUGUAUACUGCUUUGCAUGUACCUUAUGAAUAAGGAUCGGCUAACUCCGUGCCAGCAGCCGCGGUAAUACGGAGGAUCCGAGCGUUAUCCGGAUUUAUUGGGUUUAAAGGGAGCGUAGGCGGGUUGUUAAGUCAGUUGUGAAAGUUUGCGGCUCAACCGUAAAAUUGCAGUUGAUACUGGCAUCCUUGAGUACAGUAGAGGUAGGCGGAAUUCGUGGUGUAGCGGUGAAAUGCUUAGAUAUCACGAAGAACUCCGAUUGCGAAGGCAGCCUGCUGGACUGUAACUGACGCUGAUGCUCGAAAGUGUGGGUAUCAAACAGGAUUAGAUACCCUGGUAGUCCACACAGUAAACGAUGAAUACUCGCUGUUUGCGAUAUACAGUAA
rnacentral:rRNA from 1 species